AAUGGAAUUGCUGGAUCAUAUGGUAAUUCUAACAUUUAGCAUUUUGAGGAAUUAACAAACUGUUUUCCAAAGUGGAUGUACCAUUUUAUAUUCCCACCAGCGAU
rnacentral:pre_miRNA from 1 species